rnacentral:rRNA from 1 species
GACGAACCGUGCGAACGUUAUUCGGAAUCACUGGGCUUAAAGGGCGCGUAGCCGGGCGACCGCGUCGAGUGCUGAAAGCCCCCGGCUCAACCGGGGAACGGGCCUCGAUACGGGUCGCCUCGAGGGGAGGAUGGGGACCCGGAACGGCCGGUGGAGCGGUGAAAUGCGUUGAGAUCGGCCGGAACACCGACGGCGAAAGCAGGGUCCUGGACUCCUCCUGACGUUGAGGCGCGAAAGCCAAGGGGAGCGAACGGG